rnacentral:rRNA from 1 species
AGCAGCCGCGGUAAUUCCAGCUCCAAUAGCGUAUAUUAAAGUUGUUGCAGUUAAAAAGCUCGUAGUUGAAUUUCGGGAUUGACCCAUCGGUCGUGCCUUAAGGGGUAUGAACUGGUGUAGUCAAUUUCUCACCUUCUGGAGAACCGUGAUGUCCUUAAUUGGGUGCCACGAGGAACCAGGACCUUUACUUUGAAAAAAUUAGAGUGUUUAAAGCAGGCAUUUUUGCUUGAAUACAUUAGCAUGGAAUAAUAAAAUAGGACGGCAUGAUUCUAUUUUGUUGGUUUCUAGGAUUCACCGUAAUGAUUAAUAGGGAUAGUUGGGGGCAUUAGUAUUCAAUUGUCAGAGGGUGAAAUUCUUGGAUUUAUUGAAGACUAACUACUGCGAAAUGCAUUUGCCAAGGAUGUUUUCAUUAAUCAAGAACGAAAUGUUAGGGGUAUCGAAGACGAUCAGAUACCGUCGUAGUCUUAACCAUAAACUAUGCCGACUAGGAAUCAGACGAUGUUAAUUUUUUAAUGACUCG